CUAACCAUCCGUCUCUCUCUCCCUCAUUUUCCUUUCACAAACCCAAAUUAUUUUCCCAAAUCCUAGCCUCUCGAUCGGCGCCCUCUCGGUGGGUUCACAGUUGUGCUGAGGGGUUCGGCUUCUCGUCGUCGGUCUUCCCCUUUCUCGGGUCCCGCCGCCGGCCGUCGUACACUCGCGUCAGUGGAGGUUCCACCGUCGCCUCCAGCUGUAGAGAGCGGCUUUGCGAUGAAGACUAAUGCGGGGGCGCUUACCUCCGUCGUCGGUGGCCUUCCGCGACGACGCCCUUUCUCCAUCUCCAUCGAUUCUCGAUUUAGGGGGGGGGGGGAGAAAGAGGUCCGAGCUCGUGAUGGACAGAACGACGCCUUGCCCGUCGGCCACCACCAUCGUCGUAUGACUCCGAGUCCGGGCAGCCCUGUUGCCGCUGCCCAGCAGCGCCCCGGUCGCCAUCUCUGUCAGAUUUCCGAGGCCGUCGGGAGUCCGUCUCCGACGAAUUUCAGUUGCGAGAUGAGUUCCACUAACUUAUGUUCUCCCCUUUUUUCGCUAGUGUCUUACAUCUUUGCAUAUUAUGCUAUAAGUUUUCUAUAUGCGGAUAUGGUAUUCGUACAUGAACUAAAAAUGGAGUGGAGUUACCUUCACUGUAGAGUAUGAGUAUUUCGCUGCUCCUUACUCCUAGCUUGAUCUCCCUCACUCCUCAACUUGCUACUUUGUUGAAUGAAUUUGGUGUGAUAAAGGAUGGAGCCGAGGCAUGAAGUAUUUAUAGGAGGAAGGGUACCUCUGUCCCUUGUAUUUUGCUGAACCUUACUGCACUCAUUGUACAUUUUCUGCACGUGCAUACCUAUGCAACGAGGUACACUGGUCCUUACGGUUGGAGAUUCCUGCAAGGCUGUGGAAAUGGUGACUUUACCCUGGCUUAUCGGGCUGGUAUGAGCUGUGGAGUGCAGGGAGGAUGCAGCUUCACACCUUUCUUGUUUAGGCAAGUUUUGGUCUUCAAACUUAAAGAACAAGGGCUGACCUCGUCUAGGUGACUUCCCCAUCAGUUCGGCCCUACGGGCCAUCGGAAUCUAGGCUGAAGCCUCGUUAGGAAAAGGACUCGAAGCUACUUGAUAUACUUUGUAAAGCGAUAGGGUUUUUCUACUUGAAAAUCUCCCUUUUCUUUAACAUGUAAUAGUUAAUUGGUGUGUAUUACUUUUCAAGCAUUUGUAAUUUUUUUAGCUUGAAACUCUAUGUAUUGUAUUUCUUUUAUUCAAGAAAUAAAAAUACUCCUCCAUUCUUUAUGUAAAA